UAAGAAAGGAAUUCCUCCUGAUCAGCAGA
rnacentral:piRNA from 1 species